CCUUGACAUCCACGGAAUUUGGCAGAGAUGCCUUAGUGCCUUCGGGAACCGUGAGACAGGUGCUGCAUGGCUGUCGUCAGCUCGUGUUGUGAAAUGUUGGGUUAAGUCCCGCAACGAGCGCAACCCUUAUCCUUUGUUGCCAGCGAUUCGGUCGGGAACUCAAAGGAGACUGCCGGUGAUAAACCGGAGGAAGGUGGGGAUGACGUCAAGUCAUCAUGGCCCUUACGGCCAGGGCUACACACGUGCUACAAUGGCGCAUACAAAGAGAAGCGACCUCGCGAGAGCAAGCGGACCUCAUAAAGUGCGUCGUAGUCCGGAUUGGAGUCUGCAACUCGACUCCAUGAAGUCGGAAUCGCUAGUAAUCGUAGAUCAGAAUGCUACGGUGAAUACGUUCCCGGGCCUUGUACACACCGCCCGUCACACCAUGGGAGUGGGUUGCAAAAGAAGUAGGUAGCUUAACCUUCGGGAGGACGCUUACCACUUUGUGAUUCAUGACUGGGGUGAAGUCGUAACAAGGUAGGCGUACUACA
rnacentral:rRNA from 1 species